rnacentral:rRNA from 1 species
GACGAACGCUGGCGGCGUGCUUAACACAUGCAAGUCGAACGGUGAAGCGCCUUCCUUUUUGGUGGGUGUGGAUGAGUGGCGAACGGGUGAGUAACACGUGAGUAACCUGCCCCCUUCUUCUGGAUAACCGCAUGAAAGUGUGGCUAAUACGGGAUAUUCUGGGUCUGUCGCAUGAUGGGUCUGGGAAAGAUAUUGUUUCGGGGGGGGAUGGGCUCGUGGCCUAUCAGCUUGUUGGUGGGGUGAUGGCCUACCAAGGCGGUGACGGGUAGCCGGCCUGAGAGGGUGGACGGUCACACUGGGACUGAGACACGGCCCAGACUCCUACGGGAGGCAGCAGUGGGGAAUAUUGCACAAUGGGCGCAAGCCUGAUGCAGCGACGCCGCGUGAGGGAUGGAGGCCUUCGGGUUGUGAACCUCUUUCGCCAGUGAAGCAGGCCUGCCUCGUUUGUGGGUGGGUUGACGGUAGCUGGAUAAGAAGCGCCGGCUAACUACGUG